rnacentral:rRNA from 1 species
ACUCCUACGGGAGGCAGCAGUGGGGAAUAUUGGACAAUGGGCGAAAGCCUGAUCCAGCAAUGCCGCGUGUGUGAAGAAGGCCUUCGGGUUGUAAAGCACUUUUAUCAGGAGCGAAAUACUGCCGGCUAAUACCUGGCGGGGCUGACGGUAC